rnacentral:rRNA from 1 species
AACGAACGCUGGCGGCAGGCUUAACACAUGCAAGUCGAACGCCCCGCAAGGGGAGUGGCAGACGGGUGAGUAACGCGUGGGAAUCUACCUAGUUCUACGGAACAACUGAGGGAAACUUCAGCUAAUACCGUAUACGCCCUAAGGGGGAAAGAUUUAUCGGAAUUAGAUGAGCCCGCGUAAGAUUAGCUAGUUGGUGGGGUAAUGGCCUACCAAGGCGACGAUCUUUAGCUGGUCUGAGAGGAUGAUCAGCCACACUGGGACUGAGACACGGCCCAGACUCCUACGGGAGGCAGCAGUGGGGAAUAUUGGACAAUGGGCGCAAGCCUGAUCCAGCCAUGCCGCGUGAGUGAUGAAGGCCUUAGGGUUGUAAAGCUCUUUCAGUGGGGACGAUAAUGACAGUACCCACAGAAGAAGCCCCGGCUAACUUCGUGCCAGCCGCCGCAGUAAUAC